rnacentral:rRNA from 1 species
UACGUAGGGUGCUAGCGUUGUCCGGAUUUAUUGGGCGUAAAGGGCUCGUAGGCGGCGUGUCGCGUCGGGGAGUGAAAGCCCGCUGCUUAACGGCGGGUUGGCUUCCGGUACGGGCAUCGCUGGAGUGCGGCAGGGGAGACUGGAAUUCCUGGUGUAGCGGUGAAAUGCGCAGAUAUCGGGAGGAACACCGGCGGCGAAGGCGGGUCUCUGGGCCAUAACUGACGCUGAGGAGCGAAAGCGUGGGGAGCGAACAGG